AUUGAACGCUGGCGGCAGGCCUAACACAUGCAAGUCGAACGAGUGGCGGACGGGUGAGUAAUGUCUGGGAAAAUGCCUGCGGGAGGGGGAAAACUACUGGAAACGGUAGAUAAUACCGCAUACCCUCAGAUGUGCCCAGAUGGGAUUAGAGAGUUGGUGGGGUAACGGCACACCAAGGCGACGAACCCUAGCGGGUCUGAGAGGAUGACCGUCCACACUGUAACUGAGACACGGUCCAGACUCCUACGGUAGGCAGCAGUGGGGAAUAUUGCACAAUGGGCGCAAGCCUGAUGCAGCCAUGCCGCGUGUAUGAAGAAGGCCUUCGGGUUGUAAAGUACUUUCAGCGGGGAGGCGUUACCCGCAGAAGAAGCACCGGCUAACUCCGUGCCAGCAGCCGCGGUAAUUC
rnacentral:rRNA from 1 species